rnacentral:rRNA from 1 species
GACGAACGCUGGCGGCGUGCUUAACACAUGCAAGUCGAACGGAAAGGCCCUGCUUUUGUGGGGUGCUCGAGUGGCGAACGGGUGAGUAACACGUGAGUAACCUGCCCUUGACUUUGGGAUAACUUCAGGAAACUGGGGCUAAUACCGGAUAGGAGCUCCUGCUGCAUGGUGGGGGUUGGAAAGUUUCGGCGGUUGGGGAUGGACUCGCGGCUUAUCAGCUUGUUGGUGGGGUAGUGGCUUACCAAGGCUUUGACGGGUAGCCGGCCUGAGAGGGUGACCGGCCACAUUGGGACGGAGAUACGGCCCAGACUCCUACGGGAGGCAACAGUGGGGAAUAUUGCACAAUGGGCGGAAGCCUGAUGCAGCAACGCCGCGUGCGGGAUGACGGCCUUCGGGUUGUAAACCGCUUUCGCCUGUGACGAAGCGUGAGGGACGGUAAUGGGUAAAGAAGCACCGGCUAACUACGU